CUGGAUUCUAAUCUUCUGGGAUUCCAAGUUCUUCUGCAUGAGCUUAAUGACAAUGAGAUUGCUUGUGACUUCACUCCUCGCCUUGACCACACAGAUGGAAGGUUUUGGCUGUGUUAGGUCAAUGCAUGGGGAAAGGUGUCAGCUUCCCCACCGUGCAGUCAGUGUUGUGCAAAAGCAGAGGCAGGAUCUGAGGGCAAGACAAACUGGGGGCUCCUGCUUGAUUGUCUCACCUGCCCCUCUUUGGCAGCGGGUUGUGUCCCUGGCCUUUUAGACCUAAGCAGAGAGGGAAUUUCAAGUCAGGUGGCGCCUGUACAGUCUAUGGAAUAGGUAGUUAAUGAGGUCUGGAGUUGAUGUUGCCUUCCUCUCCUUCUCUGAUCACUUUCAUGUCACUCACCCAUCCCAGAUGCCAUGGUGUUCUCAAUGCCCCAGUUCUGGGGUUUCCUGCCCCACUCCACCUUUCCUUUCCUGAUCCUCAAGAAAACUGACUUCUUUUCCUAAGCCCCCCGUCUCCACUUUGUGAGGGGCAUUCUGAGCAUGGAGGCUAAUCAAUAUGUUCUCAGUAUCCAAUGGAAGCCUAACGUGCCACCUCUUCCAAGGGCAGUGCAUUUUAACUCAGACCCAACGCCCCAACCAAAUGAAAGAUCUCUAAUCUGGAAUUUUCAACAAUGGGGCUGGUGGGUCAGGGUGCACCAGAUCUCAGGAGGUUUAUCCAGAAGACUUUCAAGUGCCCCAAGAGGCUGAGUGGUCCGCCAAGUGCCUGCAUGUGUGCAGUCAGGAAGCUUGAGUCUGGGUUCUGCCUGGGGCAAGUCACUACAACUCCCAGAGCCUCAUUUCUGCUAUUCGUAAAAUGGAGAAGACACCUCCUAUGAUAUCAAGUCACUGACUUGUUCCCAGUCCUUUCUGCACCUGGAUAUCCUCAGCAUUAACAAUAACACCAUCAACUCACUCAUUGGACUUCAUGAAUGUGUGGUGGAGCCUCCUGAGGAUUUAACUUUCAAUACCAUGACUUAUUGAUGAGACUUGUAAUCAAC
rnacentral:lncRNA from 1 species